AGAGUUUGAUCCUGGCUCAGGACGAACGCUGGCGGCGUGGAUUAGGCAUGCAAGUCGAGCGACGGAUAGCUUUCGGGCUAUUACGGAGCGGCGAACGGGUGAGUAACACGUGAACAAUUUGUCCUCACGUUCCGGAUAAUUGGGAGAAAUCCCUUGUAAUACGGGCGAGGGUCACGACAGGGCAUCCUGUUGUGAAGGAACGUUCAGGCAUUUAUGUUUGAGCGGCGCGAGGAGAUGUUCGCGGCCUAUCAGGUAGUUGGUGGGGUAAUGGCCUACCAAGCCGACGACGGGUAGCUGGUCUGAGAGGAUGGUCAGCCACAUUGGGACUGAGACACUGCCCAGACUCCUACGGGAGGCUGCAGUCGAGAAUCUUGGGCAAUGCACGAAAGUGUGACCCAGCGACGCCGCGUGAAGGAUGAAGGCCCUCUGGGUUGUAAACUUCUUUUAUGGGGGAAGAACGGGCUCACGCCCUUGACGGUACCCCAUGAAUAAGCCACGGCUAACUACGUGCCAGCAGCCGCGGUAAUACGUAGGUGGCAAGCGUUGUCCGGAUUUACUGGGCGUAAAGCGUGCGCAGGCGGACGGGUAAGUAGGAAGUGAAAGGUUGGAGCUCAACUCCAACACUGCUCCCUAUACUGCCUGUCUUGAAUGUCGAAGAGGAAGAGGGAACGACACGUGUAGCGGUGAAAUGCGUUGAGAUGUGUCGGAACACCAAUGGCGAAAGCACUCUUCUGGACGAAUAUUGACGCUCAUGCACGAAAGCUAAGGUAGCAAACAGGAUUAGAUACCCUGGUAGUCUUAGCCAUAAACGAUGUUCACUAGGUGUUGGGGCGUAAGCCUCGGUGCCGCAGCUAACGCAUUAAGUGAACC
rnacentral:rRNA from 1 species